AGGCUUUGCCCGCAGUUCCAGAAAGACACAAGAUGGUAUCAGAAAGCCAUGCCAAAAUCAAUGACUGAAGGGUUUGGAGAGCCAGAUAAAGAGCCUAGAAAUGUGAUUUAACAGUACUUCAAUCACAUGAGCAGUAGCAGGAGCAAAAACAGCAGCAAACACACGGGAGAUGUAACGACUACAUUGACCAACAACUACAGCAGCUUCCCACAAUUUCU